GAUGAACGCUGGCGGCGUGCCUAAUACAUGCAAGUCGAGCGAACGGACGAGAAGCUUGCUUCUCUGAUGUUAGCGGCGGACGGGUGAGUAACACGUGGAUAACCUACCUAUAAGACUGGGAUAACUUCGGGAAACCGGAGCUAAUACCGGAUAAUAUUUUGAACCGCAUGGUUCAAAAGUGAAAGACGGUCUUGCUGUCACUUAUAGAUGGAUCCGCGCUGCAUUAGCUAGUUGGUAAGGUAACGGCUUACCAAGGCAACGAUGCAUAGCCGACCUGAGAGGGUGAUCGGCCACACUGGAACUGAGACACGGUCCAGACUCCUACGGGAGGCAGCAGUAGGGAAUCUUCCGCAAUGGGCGAAAGCCUGACGGAGCAACGCCGCGUGAGUGAUGAAGGCCUUCGGACCGUAAAACUCUGUUAUUAGGGAAGAACAUAUGUGUAAGUAACUGUGCACAUCUUGACGGUACCUAAUCAGAAAGCCACGGCUAACUACGUG
rnacentral:rRNA from 1 species